rnacentral:rRNA from 1 species
UACGUAGGGGGCGAGCGUUGUCCGGAAUCAUUGGGCGUAAAGCGCGUGUAGGCGGCUCGGUAAGUCCGGUGUGAAACCUUGGGGCUCAACCCCAAGCCUGCACUGGAUACUGUCGAGCUUGAGUCCGGGAGGGGAGAGCGGAAUUCCUAGUGUAGCGGUGAAAUGCGCAGAUAUUAGGAAGAACACCGGUGGCAAAGGCGGCUCUCUGGAACGGUACUGACGCUGAGACGCGAAAGCGUGGGGAGCGAACAGG